AGAGGAUCCAGUUCCUCCAUCAGCACAUCCUGCAGGAGAGAAGAGCAGCCAGCAGAGCCUUCAAGAGCUUUACAUCAGGAGGAGGGAGAGGAGGGAGAGGAGGGAGUCGCUUACACACUCUACUGACUCAGUAAAACUAUUCAGAUUUUCUCCACAAACCUGAAUGUAAUCGUUGAAAGCAGUGCUCAGGCUGCUCUAGCUAGCUUGUUGUGCUCUGUGUGUGUCUGUGUGUGUCAGGUUAGCUGUAAGGCUUCACCUGUCUCACUUCCUGGACCCAUCAUCUUCCAUUACAUGUGCCUCUUGUGCGGAGGCGUUGGUGCCGGAGGGCGACGACACUCUGACCUGUGACCACCCUCAUUGUUCAGGCGUGUACUGUCGGCCAUGUUUCCACAGUCUGGGAAACACAUGUGUCGUCUGUGCACAAGCUUUGACCUGUCAAGAAGAAGAAGAGGAGCUAGACUCCAGUGACGAUGAGCAGCCCCACCCAUCCCACACUCUGAGGGUGGACAGGAGGACCUCCACUGGAACAUUUCAAGGAGACAGCGAGGGAGACAGGGACAGGUAGGACACCAGAGGCGAGCGCGGUGCCUCGGUGUCACCCGUCAGAUUCA
rnacentral:lncRNA from 1 species